GAUGAACGCUAGCUACAGGCUUAACACAUGCAAGUCGAGGGGCAGCGGGAUUGAAGCUUGCUUCAAUUGCCGGCGACCGGCGCACGGGUGAGUAACGCGUAUCCAACCUUCCGUACACUCAGGGAUAGCCUUUCGAAAGAAAGAUUAAUACCUGAUGGUAUGAUGAGAUCGCAUGGUAUCAUCAUUAAAGAUUUAUCGGUGUACGAUGGGGAUGCGUUCCAUUAGGUAGUAGGCGGGGUAACGGCCCACCUAGCCUACGAUGGAUAGGGGUUCUGAGAGGAAGGUCCCCCACAUUGGAACUGAGACACGGUCCAAACUCCUACGGGAGGCAGCAGUGAGGAAUAUUGGUCAAUGGGCGAGAGCCUGAACCAGCCAAGUAGCGUGAAGGAUGACUGCCCUAUGGGUUGUAAACUUCUUUUAUAAAGGAAUAAAGUCGGGUAUGUAUACCCGUUUGCAUGUACUUUAUGAAUAAGGAUCGGCUAACUCCGUGCCAGCAGCC
rnacentral:rRNA from 1 species